CCAAAUCUGCUUGCUUUUUGCUAACUGUUUUUGUCUUUCAUUUCCUACCCGAUAACAAUUUCCAGCAGGAGUCCAAAUAUACUUAAACACCCAUAUAUGUCAUUUUCUUUUAAGGAGACAAGCAGGCUCAGCAGCCUGCUUAAGAAGGACUCUCUGCUCUCUAGAUAGAGGGGUGAGCCUUCCACUUAGAACUGGUGAUUUUGCAAAUCCAUUUUCCUGUCACACUAUUACUCUUGUGACUUUCAACAACAUUUAUUUUUUCCCUCCAAGCACUGUGCUCCCUUCGUAAAGUGAAGUCUUCUUACGUGUGUUAGUGGAACCCUGAUGCUUAGGCAUCCUGGCCAGCUGCUAGGAAGAGCUUUAAUGGGAAGAUUGCCAUUGGGGUGGCAAGUGCUUUGGGGUUUUUUAUUAAUAUUAAUUAGAACAUUGAUAGAUUUCUCUAAUUAUUACCCACAUCAAGGUCUCCUUAGGAGGGCAGCCUUUUAUUAAUUUCUUUGUGAGAUCUGUGCUAAAUUUCUACAGUAUUCAACAGUCCAGUCUUGAGAAGUUCCAGGUCUUUCUUAAAAAAAAAAAAAAAUCACAGAAUUAAAUAAACAAAACUCCCUGAAUCCAUCCUUUAAAGGCUACCUUUAGAAAUUUUAAGAUAGAGAUUUAAGGAUAAGAAAAUAAAGAUUAGUUAUACUACAUUAUUACACUUAAUAUUGAUAAUUUAUACUCUUGUGUCCAUCUUCAUUUCAAUAUCUUCUAUGGAAUAUUUUCUCCUUUACUUUCUGUUCUGAUUUUUUUUUUAACACUUGGUCUUAGCCAAAAGGCAGAGAAGCGAUGACAUUUUUUUUUUUUUAAAUAUGAUCAUGUAUGUACUCACUUCAGGUUCCUCAGUCUUGAGUUAGUAUCAAGAAAAGGCAAUUAUAAGCUGGGCAGUGGUGGUGGCACAUGCCUUUAAUCACAGCACUUGGGAGUCAGAGGCACGUGGAUUUCUAAGUUCGAGGCCAGCCUGUUCUACAGAGUGAGUUCCAGGACAGCCAGGGCUACACAGAGAAACCCUGUCUGGAAAAAACCAAGAAAGAAAGAAAGAAAGAAAGAAAGAAAGAGAGAGAGAGAGAGAGAGAGAGAGAGAGAGAGAGAGAGAGAGAGAGAGAGAGAAAGGAAAGAAAGAAAGAAAAGAAAGAAAGAAAGAAAAAGAAAGAAAGAAAGACAAGGAAAGAGAGAGAGAGAAAAGGCAAUUAUGUAGAUACUGAGGCAGAGGCAUCUCUCUGUGUUUGGUCUUUCACCUUCUCUUAGAGAUGCAGAAUUAGCUAGAACUGGAGAGGGUAGAAUCCAGGUCUGGGAUCUGUUAUCCCACAGGAUUCAAUCCCAUCUUUUUCCCUGGCAUUCUCAAAAACUUUGGAAAAGUUACUUACCUCUGUGUGCUUUAUUCCACUUGCAUAUGUAAUGGACAUGACAAUACCAUUUAUGUUUGUGUGGUUUUUGUAACUUAAGUCAUGGAAAGUCCACUUGAGGAGGUUUGGAGGAUAAUACUAAAAAUACUAGCUAUUCUUUUUUUUUUAAUCACAGGUCUGUUAUUGCUAUCUAGCCAACUCCAGACAAUGAACUAACAUUCUUCAGUUUGAUAGGUCUUAGGUAAUAUUUUUCAUUUCUUUAUGCACUUUAAAAACAGACAAAGGGGGGCUGAAGAGAUGGCUCAGCAGUUAAGGGCACUAACUGUUCUUCCAGAGGUCCCAAGUUCAAUUCCCAGUAUCCACAUGGUGGCUUUUGACCAUCUGUAAUAAAUAGGAUCUGAUUCCUUCUUUGGGUAUGUGUGAAGACAGAACACUCAUGUAGAAUAGAUAAAUAAGUAAAUAUUUUAAAAAUUAAACAU
rnacentral:lncRNA from 1 species